rnacentral:snRNA from 1 species
AUCACGUCUCAGCCUUUUGGCUGAGAUCCAGUGUAGUAUCUGUUCUUCGCAGUUCAACAUGUUACCUCAUUUAUUCUCCCAAACAUGC